AUUGAACGCUGGCGGCAUGCCUUACACAUGCAAGUCGAACGGCAGCACGGACUUCGGUCUGGUGGCGAGUGGCGAACGGGUGAGUAAUGUAUCGGAACGUACCUUUCAGUGGGGAAUAACGUAGCGAAAGUUACGCUAAUACCGCAUAUUCUGUGAGCAGGAAAGCAGGGGAUCGAAAGACCUUGCGCUGAUUGAGCGGCCGAUAUCAGAUUAGCUAGUUGGUGGGGUAAAGGCCUACCAAGGCGACGAUCUGUAGCGGGUCUGAGAGGAUGAUCCGCCACACUGGAACUGAGACACGGUCCAGACCCCUACGGGAGGCAGCAGUGGGGAAUUUUGGACAAUGGGGGCAACCCUGAUCCAGCCAUGCCGCGUGAGUGAAGAAGGCCUUCGGGUUGUAAAGCUCUUUCGGCCGGGAAGAAAUCGCAUAGGCUAAUACCCUGUGUGGAUGACGGUACCGGAAUAAGAAGCACCGGCUAACUACGUG
rnacentral:rRNA from 1 species